rnacentral:rRNA from 1 species
AGGUAACGAAAAUGUUUUGUGUGGAGUAUAUUUUAUAUUUCUUGAAAAACUUAAUUGCGUGGCGGCUAAACAACUAUAUAGAGUGAUAUGACUUAUAAAUCGAAUUCACGCGAAUAUCUUAUCUAAUUUUGAAUUAAUUUCAUUUUACACACCGCCGUCGGAAGGACAAGUUAAUAGACUUCUCCUUUUUUCUUUUUAUAAGAAAUAAGUCAGGUCAACGUGUAGAUUAUAAUUAGGUCAAGUUGUAUCUCAUUAUUAUUAAUAUGUCUUUAUAAUUUGAAAAGUAUAAAGUAAUUGAAUUUAUAAG